rnacentral:lncRNA from 1 species
UUUGAUUACCGGAGCAAAACGUGUCAAGUUGUCGUCAUAAACGUAUGGAGCUUUCUCGAACCAUGUUGCAUUAUCCUUCUCCGGUAAAGGUACAAUAUUCCGACAAACUUCUCCCAUGUACCCUGUAGUUCCAUGGUAAUGGUAGUAUCGAAUCUUAGUUUCUGUGUCAUGCAUCGUCUUCCCAGUUAGAAACUCCGACAUGUGAACUCCCACGGUAUACGCGUUUCUCGCUUUAACUGCGUAUUUCCGGUCUCUCCAUAGUCCGGUGAUAUCUUCUCGGAAGUUUAGCUUCUCAAACCCCCAUUCCGUGGGAUAGUUUCGACUGGGAUCAUCCACGCAUAGUUUUCCCGACAUGGGAUUCUGUUCUAUCGUGAACUGACUGUAAUCCUCUAAUUCUUCCAGAACGGACUCCAGAGUGCUGCCGUCCGGCAGGUAUAUAUACUCGUCAACAUCGAAUAGGAAUGUCCAAUUCGCGGUGUAUCGAUUCUGGUGUAAGCAGUCGUUUAAAAUCAAGAAUUGAUUGUAAUACCAACUAUCGUAAUCUUCCUGUCUUCUCACAUCUUGCAGCGUCACUCUCCCUAGCUCUAUCCAUGGAUCCAGAACCUUCUUCACGUCCGCCGAUAUCCCACCGGCGUCAUAUAGCAUGAAAUGCGAAU